GACGAACGCUGGCGGCGUGCCUAAUACAUGCAAGUUGAGCGAUGAAGCUUGGUGCUUGCACCAAUUUGAAGAGCAGCGAACGGGUGAGUAACGCGUGGGGAAUCUGCCUUUGAGCGGGGGACAACAUUUGGAAACGAAUGCUAAUACCGCAUAACAACUUUAAACAUAAGUUUUAAGUUUGAAAGAUGCAAUUGCAUCACUCAAAGAUGAUCCCGCGUUGUAUUAGCUAGUUGGUGAGGUAAAGGCUCACCAAGGCGAUGAUACAUAGCCGACCUGAGAGGGUGAUCGGCCACAUUGGGACUGGGACACGGCCCAAACUCCUACGGGAGGCAGCAGGAGGGGAUCUUCGGCAAUGGACGAAAGUCUGACCGAGCAACGCCGCGUGAGUGAAGAAGGGUUUCGGAUCGUAAAACUCUGUUGGUAGGGAAGAACGUUGGUGAGAGUGGAAAGCUCAUCAAGUGACGGUAACUACCCAGAAAGGGACGGCUAACUACGUG
rnacentral:rRNA from 1 species